CAUUUAGAGUUAUUAAUAGCGGUGUUCGGAUGACUGCUUUCCUCUCUUCUCUGUUAGCCUCAGGACUUUACUGCUUUGCUGGCUUGGCAGUGGUGGAUUCCUUCCCAGCUCUUCUUAGUUUGUCUCUCCCUCUCAUGAAGUUUAUUCUUUCCUGUGUCCUUGUGAUGGUGGGGGUUCUUUUUCUUCUAGAGUGCUGUUCUAGAGUCUUCUAAAGUGCUGUUGGGUGGCCAUGAACUUCCCUGGUGUGGGCUUGUCUUAGGAUGCCCUGAUUUUCCCCUCCACUUUUAAAGACAACUUUGCUGGCGUUAGCAGUCUUGGUUAGCAGUUAUUUAUUUUCAGUUCUUGAAAUACACCAUUCCUUCUUCCCUGGCCUUUAGCAUUGCUGUUAAGAGACCUGCUAUUAUCUAGAUGUUUCUGCCUUUGUAGUAAGUUGGCAUUUUUCCUGACGAACUUUUAAUGUUUCUUUGUUCUAGAGGUUUGACACCUUGACUAUAUGUUGGGGUAGAGUUUUCUCAGGUCAUAUAUAUAUGUGUGUGUAUAUAUAUAUAUGUAUUUAUGUAUGUGUAUAUGUGUGUGUGUGUAUAUAUAUAUAUAUAUAUAUAUGUAUGUAUGUAUGUAUGUAUGUAUGUAGUGGUGGUGGUGCUUUAAAUGCCUCUGUGUUUGGAUAUGUAUUUCUCUAUAUUUGGGAAUUUUCUGCAAUAAUUUCACUGAUGGGUCUCUGCCUUUAGUGUUUAUGUUCUCUGGUGUGGUGGUUUGCAUAGGUAUGGCUCCAAUAGACUGAUGUGUUUAAAUGCUUGGCCCAUAGAGAGUGACACGAUUAGGAGGUAUGGCUUUGUUGGAGUAGCUGUGGCCUUUUUGGGAGAAGUGUGUCACUGUGGGGGUGGGCUUUGAGGUAGGUCUCCAAUGCUCAGGCUCUGCCGAGUGAGACACAGGCUCUUCCUUGCUGCCUGUGGAUCAAGGUGUAGGUCUUUCAGGUAACCUCUCUAGCAUCAUGUCUGCCCGGACACCACCAUGCUUCUCAUCAUGAUGAUAAUGGACUAAACCUAUGAAACUGAAAUAAGUGUUGCCUUGGGUUAUGGUGUCUCCACCGUGUAAGCACCUCUCCCUUCCUCCACCUUUCUUACCUCUCUAUUGCAUAUUCAUUUGUUGUAGUGGCACUGUGACAAUGUAACACAGUGUAACAGUGUGUAUAUGUGUCACAAACAGUUUAACAUGCAAAUAUUCAUUGCAACAAGUUAUUGAUCUGGUUCAGGCUUUCUUGUUUCUGAUGCAUCAUAAAUACUAGACUUGUCUUUUGAUAUCCUGCUGUUGCCCAGAGCCAAGUGAUCUUGCUGCAAGGCAGAGUGUCCUGGGGUAGGUUCCGUGUGAGUUCCAGGCUGCUGCUGACCUCCUUGCCUCCCCAAGGCUCAGGGCUCAAUCUUUGUGUGUGUGACCUGCAGGCAGCACCACUACCCAUCUCCCCUUACUUCUUCCCUUUGUCUCCCAGCAGAGCAAGCAGCAUGGGCUGCAGCCUCAGCAGGACCUAGGACCGGCCCUAUUCGUUGAUGACACGUGGUUUUGCAGGACGAGCUCUUUCAUGUGCUCCAGCAGCCUGUAGCUGGAGUAGAUGUUGGAGUGAACCAACUCAAGACACUGCAUCUGGGCCUGGGUGGCAGCAGAGUUGGUCAGCCCCACGCAAGGCUAUCUCUGUGGUUUUUUUGUUUGUUUUUGUUUUUUGUUUUAUUUAAUUCAUUGAUCUUUUUAUUUUCCAACAUUUCUAUUUCCCCCCCAACUCUUAACUUCCUUGUAGAAUUGUCUUCCCUUUUCCAUCCAUAUUGCUGUUUUCUUAUGUCUGUUACUGCCUUUUUCUGCUAUGUUGCUGAUUUUCCUUUCUAGAUCCUCGAUUGUGUUUAUUUGCUUGCUUAUAUCUUCAUUUACAUUAUUGAUCAUUGUCUUAGUCAGAGUUUCUAUUCCUGCACAAACAUCAUGACCAAGAAGCAAGUUGGAGAGGAAAGGGUUUAUUCAGCUUACACUUCCACAUUGCUGUUCAUCACUAAAGGAAGCCAGGACUGGAACUCAAGCAGGUCAGGAUACAGGAGCUGAUGCAGAGGCCAUGGAGGGAUGUUCCUUACUGGCUUGCUUCCCCUGGCUUGCUCAGCCUGCUCUAUUAUAGAUCCAAGACUACCAGCCCAGAGAUGGCACCACCCACAAGGGGCCUUUCCCGCUUGAUCACUAAUUGAGGAAAUGCCUUACAGUUGGAUCUCGUGGAGGCAUUUCCUCAACUGAAGCUCCUUUCUCUGUGAUAACUGCAGCUUGUGUCAAGUUGACACAAAACUAGCCAGUACAAUCAUUUUUACCAGAAAACUUGAGAAAUCAUUACCCAACUGUAGGGAUUCCAUAUUCCAUAUGCAUUUUUCUUGUAUUUAUGCAUUUAAUGUGUAUGAGUACACUGUAGCUGUCUUCAGACACACCAGAAGAAGGCUUCAGAUCCCGUUACAGAUGGUUAUGAGCCACUACCUGGUGGCUGGGAAUUGAACCUUUGGAAGAGCAGUCAGUGCUGUU
rnacentral:lncRNA from 1 species